GUUUCUUCCUAAGCUGAGUGAAUCUGGACACUUUCUAACUUGGAACAAAUCACACAGACAAAAUGAAGAUAAAAUGCCCCCAUCCAGGUUGCAGCCUGACACUUCUGCCUCUUUUCCCUCUGGGUAUAUCUUACUGGGUCUUUGCAGGUCAUGGCUGGACUGUUGGAAGUGUCUGUCCACUGCAAGAAAUUUGAAGUAACAAAAUGGCCUCCUUAAUCAGGAAUCAGUUUCCAUCACAUUCUUGGGAGCUAAGCACCCAGUUUUAGUCUCCAGACUGCUGAGCUCCUCAACAGAUCUUCAUGACUGCCUGGCUUUUAUGUGGAUUCUAGAGAUAACCCAAACUGGCAUCUCCCUGCUUGUGUGACAAGAAUUUGACAACUCCCCAGCCCAGCUAUUAGACUUUUAAAGUUCAUUUUCUUUGGUUCCCAUUUACAUGGUACACUGGCAAGC
rnacentral:lncRNA from 1 species